CUCGGGUGGUGAAGAUGGGCUGUUCUCUGCAAUAAGAGAGUGGGCGUAUAAUAGAAUUGCACAUAGAGAACACCCAAGAAAAUCAACUGAAAAAGAUAUCACCAAGGUGGCCUCAAGAAUUGAUAGGAUCCCAGCCACAAGUGAAGGCCUUACUCAGGGAAGUCACAACGGGUUGCUCGUCCAUACAGGAUCAAGGACAGGUUGGCCUGUUGGCCAGACGCCCAGCACAAACAGCUCAGCCCAGUGAGGGAGAGUCAUUAGAUGAAGAAAUGGAAGCUCAAAGAAGGUCAGCACAUUGCUCCAGUCACACAGGCAGUGAAUGGCCAGGCAAAGACUGGGUCCAAGGUCCCUGUUCUUGACCCGCAUACUUCACUACUUCCCUUAGGCAACACUCUCUGCCUAAAUGCCCUGUUCCUCAUUUUGUCUGCCUGAGAAACCCCUCUUUAUCCUUCAAGAUUUAGCUUGGAUGUCACCUCCUUCAGGAAGCCUUCUCUAACUUCGUACAGAGUUAAGCAUCUAUCUACGUUCAUAUUUCAAUAACAGGCUUAUUUCAUUGCCCUAAUUACCUGCUCACCAGCCAUCUCCCUCAGGAAGGCAGGGACUCUGUCUUACGACCUGUCUUCCUGGUGUCUAGCCCAGAGAAGGUACUCAACAUUCAGGUGAUGGUCAUUGGCCAAAGGAUCAAGAAAGGUAAAAGAGCUGACGAACUGAUGAAGGGUGAUCAGAAAGGAAUUCAGAUCCAUACGAGUAAGGAUGGGAGUCCAGAGACAUACAGGGACCCUGAAACUACUGACUAGUCCACAUGGCCCCUGGUACAACAUCCUCCAAUGCCCAUCCAUUGGGCAGUGUUUACGUGAUGUCCAACUUCUCCACUAGCCUGUAAGCAUCCUAGAGCCACCGAUGUCCAUCACUGUGUUCCGAGCACCCACGACAAUGCCUGACACAGGUAGGUCACUGCUGAAUGAAUGAGCGAAUGCAUAUACAAAUAAUCAAUGAGGAGCUCCCUGACCAGCAACACAAAUCCCUAGUCUGAUGCCACAAUGGGGAGAAACCACUUAACUUUGUCCACACUUGCACCUCCCUGUAAAAGCAACGAGUUGGCAGACCGGUUUUCUUGUUGAUAUACAUGGGUCAGCUCAUUCUCCCGGCCUUCCCGAUCCUCUGGCUGGCGACAUUCCUCCACCCACACCACCUGAGAGGCUUAGCAAUAUGAGGCAACAUUUCACAGGGUAAGCCUCGGAUUGCCUGAGUCACCUGAUGACUGGAAGCCAACUCUGGCACUGCUCAGGACUGGGAGCAGAGUGACUGGGUCGUCUGGAAGGCAGCCACACAGUGGCUGAAGACUCAGAGAGUGCCCAAGGGGAUUAAGGAUGAGGGAAUGGAAGCACAUGUCAUCCCCAACCACCUAACUCCAGACGGUGCCCAAAGGGCCAACUUCCCACCCAAAGAAGAAAUGAUGGCAGUGGUAAUGAUAAUGAUGAUAAACUUGGCCAUCAUUUACUAUUUAUGUGUCCGGCAUUGUGCUAAAUGCUCUAUACACAUUUUCUAUUUAAUCACCUCAAUCAUUUAAUAGAUGAGGACAGUAAAGCUUAGAGAGAGAAAAUAUGUCAUCUAAGCUCACACAGCCAGUGAGGGUGAGGAGGGCUGGGGCUUGAGCUGUAUGUGCUUAACCAGCCUUCCCAGCUCCCACAACCAACGGUGCUCCAUGACAAUGCAGCUGAGACAGCUGAGUCUACGCUCAGUCCACUUGGAGGAGUUAGAGAGCUCUUCCUCAUACCAAGUGAGCUGAAAUAUGUCUUGAUGCCACCUCCACUGGGAGCUCCUUUUCCUUGUCUUUGGAGCAUCCUGGAAGAGGCUCCAUUCCUUUUCCCCAUGAGGACUCUCUCUGUCACCAGCUCCCACAGGACACAAGCUAAAACAACUCUUCGUUUUUCCAUUUAUCUAAAAACUCCAAUUAAAAGCUUUCCCAAUUAGAGAUCCCAAAAAGGAUCCAUUGCCCAGGCAGUGGGGUCUGCAAUAUUCCUCACUCAUCAGGUCCCUGUGGAUACCGCCCACCCCAUAACCCACAGACAAGAUUACCCGCAGAACAAAAGGAGGACUAAAGGCAGACUGGACUUGGCCUGCCCCUCACUGGUGAUCUGGACAGAGAUUUCCCCAGGCAGGGCAAAGAAAGGGGCCUCCUAGAGCCCCUGCAUAGCUGGGACCCGCCCUCACUUCGGCCCUCCUUUGACUGGGAGCCACUUGUGUACUCAAGAGCUUCUUUUUAAUACACGGCUCUCACCCUGACUCCUCUGGCUAGUGGCAAAGCCUCAUCCUAAGCUUGUCUGCACAGGGGUGGGGACUCUACCAUCUCCAAUUCCUCAGAGGAAUAAU
rnacentral:lncRNA from 10 species